UCCAACCAUAAGAGUGCCACCUAUUACAUAGAUUAAGGAGAGGUUGCCACUUAGGAGAAAGAUCAUGAAAGAGAAACUUAUAAACAUAUAAAUAAUAGAUAUAAAUAAUAGAUAUAUAGAUAUCUCCAAAUUUUUUUAAGAAUUUAAUUUAUAUGCACCGUCGGUGUAAAGUUAUUUUGCACAUUCGUCCAAUAAUAUAACGACACAUCAUGUAUGGUAAUUAAAAACACAUGAAGUGUCACAUUCAUUAGGUGAUGUGGCAACGCGUUAUUGAAUGUAUGUGUAAAAAACUUUUACACCGACGGUGCACAACAAUUAAACUCUU
rnacentral:lncRNA from 1 species